GCUGGAAUAGUUGAGUUGGGUAGAGCAUGAGACUCUUAAUCUCAGGGCCAUGGGUUUGAGCCCCACAUAGUG